AAUAAUGACACAGACUGGCUCAUCAUCUCAUCUGCAGCAGAGACUGUUGUAUCAGAAGGACAGCGCGUUUGUUUGAGGCACUUUUCACUUCAACUGUGUCUGACAGGAGAAUUGAGCUUUCUGAGCCUUCUAGCCGUUGAGUUACCAUGGCAACCGCGUACACAUCAGCUGCUGGAGAGGAGAGGAGAGGUCUCGUCUGACAUUUUCUCUGUUUCUCGUCAGUUAUACCAAAGAAAAGGUCAACAACUGCGACAGAUUUAGUAACACGUUAAUAUUAUCCACAGUCUACUUUAAGUACUUUUUAUUAAUAUUUAUACCUCUGUGAUUAUGGUAUUUUUCUUGAAAUGUCUGCUAUCAAGUAUUACGCUAGCAUAGAAACAUAAUUAACGUUAUAGCAUAUAGAGCUCGGGCGUAGACGUCAUGGAAUGGUGCAUUGUGGGUAACGGCGGCCAUUUUAGAGGCAUCGCAAAGCAGGUUUGUAAUAAGAUAAUAGCCAGUAUCCAGAAAAAGUUAUAGAACGUGACAAAAAAAGUUGCCUAUACCUAUACGGACAAACUUAAUAAUGAAGCCAAACAACGCUACUUAAAAAAAAAAAAGAGGUUGUAGGCGGAAUCGAUCCCUAUGAACACAUGAAAGUUUACCAAGCCUCAGUUUCCCUGAUAAUUUAUCCUACCGGGUCUGUGGAGUGAGCGCUUACACCUCCGAUCAAUUUAAAAAUGUCACUUUCACUUUUUAAAAAGUCACUGGAGGCUCACCUGCAGAUCAUAAAUGGAUCUGCAAAUUAAACGUGGAGAAAACAAUCUUUUUCACUAAGGAAAUGUUAACAUUAACCAAGCAUCAGUGGUGACACACACACACACACACACACACUUAUCAGAUUCUGCGAGCUAUGAAGCUUGUCUAUGCGGGUUUGUUACACUUCAGGAGUAAUUACUCACCUAUCAUACUUGCAAAAAUCCACUGUUUUCCUCCGGUAGUUCUGUAAUACGGUAUAAUAUUGACGAACAUUCACCUCAGACACAACCCACCAUUCACCAAAACAAGACGCUUAACUUCCUAUUUUGAAGUUCGUUCCAGUUUUUUAUUUUUUUUUAAACAAGUUGUUCAAAUUUGUUAAAUACAGUCAGCACAAAAAUAUCAAAAAGCAAAUUAAGUUCAGGAUUGGGUCAAAAGAAAAUGUUUAAACAAAAAAUACAGACACUAAACUGACUCCCUUACUGGC
rnacentral:lncRNA from 1 species